UACGGAGGGAGCUAGCGUUGUUCGGAAUUACUGGGCGUAAAGCGCACGUAGGCGGCUUUUUAAGUCAGGGGUGAAAUCCCGGAGCUCAACUCCGGAACUGCCCUUGAAACUGGGAAGCUAGAAUCUUGGAGAGGCGAGUGGAAUUCCGAGUGUAGAGGUGAAAUUCGUAGAUAUGCGGAAGAACACCAGUGGCGAAGGCGACUCGCUGGACAAGUAUUGACGCUGAGGUGCGAAAGCGUGGGGAGCAAACAGG
rnacentral:rRNA from 1 species